AUGUCUCAGCCGCCGUCCGUCUCGGCCGCCAUCCGAGUUCUGGCUUACUCUUGGGGUAGUGAUGGGCAGUUCACGAUGUCUCAGCCGCCGUCCGUCUCGGCCGCCAUCCGAGAAACAGUCCAGAUCCCCUGCAGGAGAAGCAGCGGGAGUGUCAGCAGCUACUACAACUCUUGGUACCAACAGAAGCCUGGCAGUGCCCCCAUAUUGCUAAUAUUUGGCGAUGAUGCUACAGCCUCAGGGAUCCCAGAGCGAUUCUCCGGUUCCAUUGACGAAUCUGCCAACACGGCCACCCUAACCAUCUCCAACGUUCAAGCAGAAGACGAGGCCGACUAUUACUGUUUAUCUUCUGACAGCAGCGGGCAGAGCACAGUGAUACAACCCCAGGGGGAAGUGAGACCAAAACCUCCCUCCAGCCGACACUGGGCUUCACUAGGCAUCAUCUGUACUUGAAGGACAGAGGUCGUCUACAGUUCCCCACAGGGAUGAAUGGGGCAGGGGAGUGCCCCAAUUUUGGGGGAUGAGGCACCCAUCUGUCUCCAUGCAAGAGCUAUCCAGGGAAAGAGUAAAAAAGAUAUGAUAGUGGCUUGA